rnacentral:lncRNA from 1 species
AGUGUGGCGCUGCAGCACUGCGUUCUGCUCCUCGAAAGCCACGUUCAUCUUCCGCAGGCGCCGCAGCUCUGCCUCGCGUGCUGCAGGACAGGAGUCAGAGCCCUGGAACUGGUCCUGGAGUGCUGUAGACCCACUUCGUCUCUGGCCUCAUCCCGACCCUUCCCCUCCAUCCCUGGCCUUACCCCUGACCUCAUCUCCCUUCAGACCCGGACACCAGCACCUACGAAAAUCUCACCUUUGUUUUGGUCCAAAAACUCUUCAGUGAAGAUGGGAACAUCAAAGGUUGAAAAGCCAUCGCCGCAGUCCACACCCUGGGACAUGGCAAUGAGUUUGAGCAGUGAAUGUUCUCAGCUCUGAGCGGAUCACCGAUGAGGCUUGCCUUGCUGGCAGGAAGACCCAGGAACCCUCCUGUUUCUGCCACCCGCUUCUCUGGUCUCUACCUGCUUCUCUGCUGGCUGCAGCUUGCUCCACUCCGCGCCCAACAUCUUGGUGAUCUCCGGGAAGGGAAGGUCCGGAUGUCGGGUGCGAAUCUGCUCCCGCCUCUCGUUCAGGAAGCGAACAUAGCCCGUGACCGGGGCCUUGGGCCCAUUGGGGAGAAUCUUCUUUCUUUUCUUGCCUUUGGGCCAGCCUCGCUUCUUCACUGGCUGCAGGAGGGGGCUGUGUCCUUGGGAGGGGCUCUGAGAACUGUGGGCGGGGUCUGGGGCGUGUGGGCGGGGCCUAGCCUAGUAGUGGGACAGCAGAUCAAGGGUCAGAACUCUAGAGAGCCAAUUGUCCUGUGCGGAGACAACCUCCUAGGGGUGGGACUGAAGCCAAUGACAGGAUGGGCGGGGGCGUGGCCUCUUGCUAGGCAGUGGGAGGGUCUUAUACAGUGUGGACUUGUG